ACUAUAACCUUGGAGAGAGCCAUUGGGUCGAAGCAGCUGCCGGAAGCUCAGAUCCCUCUCUCUCCCUCUGUGUGUGUGUGUGUUUGGCCUUUUUGGACCAAUGUGGGCCACAGCUGGACGCCGGACCCUUUGGAGGAGGAGGAAGGGGUGGGUCGGUGGGGAAGGAUGGAGAGGUUCUGACCCGCCCCUGGAAACCUCGGUAGUGGAGCCGCGGGUCAUUUGUAUGAUUGUUCAGACCAACAAGCACUUCAUCCGAGACGCAAAGAUUCAAGGAGAAGAGGGGAAAUUGCCAUCCCUCUGAGGAAAACUGAGAAAUACGUGCACGCCCAAACGAAGAUGGAAAGUCUAAGGGAGGGGAAUCAGAAGACUUGGCCCGGCGAAGAAAUGGACAAGGCGGGAGUCCAGGGCCGCCCCCUUCCCCUAGAUCCGUCUUUAGCAGUUGGCCUGAUAGCUAGAUAAGUGGGAGACCCCCAUCUCCUUUAGAAAGUCGAAGCCAAACUGUGGGCUGUCUUAUAACUAGAGCAGUCAAGUACAACAUUUUCCUGUUUCCUAGAAUGGACACACGGAGGAAUGUGGCUCCAGACAGGGAAGACUUCCUGUCACACCUGCUUUGGAGCUUCCUCCCCCUGUGUGUGACCAGGUAGAGAGGCGCGACCCUAGCUGACCAGAUAAAAGGGCAACCAUCUCUUGAACUCUUACUUUCUUACUCUUGGACUCUCUCUGUCCUGGCUCGUAGCUAGCGCAUGGCUCAACCUUCACAUAGGAUGGAGCCCACAAGCAGAAAGUCUGAGAUGCAGCUCAGACUUCUUUUCACUGUAACCACAACACAAAAGCCUGCCUUCAGACUACUGCUGUGAACUGAAUAGAAAUGAUGAUCAGGAAAUCUGCGGAAUGAACUAAUCAAGAAAACAAAAGAAGUUAUUCCAAGCGAGGACAAGUUCCUGGCAGCGCAGCUUUUUCUGGUGUUGGAGUUGCCGAACAUCCUUAAUCACACACACGAGUUAUCUCCCGACGAGGCUUUGCUAUAACCAUUUGUCAUGCUGGCAAUAGAGUAGUGGCCAAAACUGGAAUAAUAAUAAUAAUAAUAAUAAUAAUAAUAAUAAUAAUAAUAAUAAUAAUAAUAAACUAGAAUUUGCCCUGCUCGGGCGCAGACUUGUGGCUGGCGCGCGAGGCGUCCUGUGGGCGUGCAGACAACCGGCGGGGGGAAUUGAUUUCGGAUCACAGCUCAUCGGAAGUCAAAGGGCGCUCGCGAAACGCUCCUGUCGUUUGAUCUACAACCCAAAUCCCUGCCUAGCAACUGCAAUCACAUCUUUCUAACCCCCAUCGCAACCCCGGCUUCCGUUUCCUCUUUGGUUAGUUGUGUUGGUUCGCCUCCUGUCGUCUCACAAAGGAGGACUCCACAGCUCUGGAAUCUUCUCCUCCAGGAACAGUCAGUGGUUAGGAAGAGCAUCAAGGCAGAAGCCAACCAUUUCCUCGCUUGAAAUUUCGCGAGAAGGUGCCCACAGGUCAGAGCUGAGGACUCGUUCUUCUACAGGGCUCUGCAGAAUUGUGGUCUUCCUGCCCUCAUGUGCAAGAAGAUCAGGAGGCGAUCCCUGGAGAGAAACCACCAGAGCUCCUGGCACAUCCCAGCCAGUCAAUAGCCAGAUUCCUCACGUUUCAUUGGACAAUCUGGCAGACAUGGGCUUUGGGCUGAACCCAUUACAGAAAUAGGGGGAUCCAUGCAGGGAUUUUCAGGAGCUGCCCAAUCUACAGGAGUCUAAUAGAGUGAGCAGACCAUACCAGGGUCGCUGCCCAUAAACAGGCCCACCCUGGAAGGAGUCUCGGGAUUGGACUAGGAUGGAGAGAAAACGGGACGGAGGGCAGGAAACAUAAGAACCACUAUUACUGAAUGCCUGACCUAAGUCUCCUUGGAUCGAUUGAGUGGGACUUAUUUCCAAGUCAUAUGGGGAAUAUAUAAGCCUCAUUGAACAGCCUAGCAGGAAGUUUCAUUGAGUUCAGACGGGACUUACUCCUAGGUGAGUUGACCUCAGAUUGCAGCCUUUCCAGAGUUUGACUGAAAGGACUUACCCACGAGUAGACGUGUACAUUUGAAGGUGCCAUCACAAGCAGCGUGGUGCUUAAUUGUGGCUUCCAUUCUUCACAGCUGCUUUCCGCUUUCCCUCUCCAGACAUCCGAGCGAUUUCUCUUCAAGGGAAACGCCCCCCGCCCGUGUUUUUAUGAGACAGCAGGACAGAUCUCCCCACCCAAAGAUACACACCUUCUUUCCUCCUUAGCAGAGUUAGACGCGUAAUAAUGCCGCGAUCCUCAAGUCUGGAAGAUGACCAGUUGCGGAGAAACCUAUGGGCCCGUCAGCCCGAAACGGGAAAGUCGAAGACUAAUAUCCAAACCACACUUAGCUCUGGGGAGAACCCCUUUCCCCUAGAAAUACAGUCGUUCGGUCCCAGCAUGUGUCCUUAACCUCAAGCCUCUGAUAAAUAAAGAUCUAGAAAGAGGGGGAACCCCAGGAAGGCUACGCUCUGUAUUAACUCCUUCCUGUAUGCAAGCCCGAUUCCCUAUUUAUGUGUGUGGCUUGCUUUGUGCCCUAAGUUGUAGACCCUUGGCUACUGAGGAUGCUGGUUCCUUGUGGGGGCUCUAAGACAUUACCCUCGCGCCACCGCCAGGCUCUCAGUCAAUUCCACCGCUCUCCAUCCUGCCUAGGAGUCUCCAUCCUCCAUCCAAUCCACGGUUUCUCUCUCAACCACUUUGCAAAACGGGUUAAUGUCGCAAUAAAUGUGUUGGUCGUUACUGCGCUACAGUACAA